CCCACUGAUAACCACUAGCUUGCUGUCCAUGUCUGUACAUCUGCUUCUUCUUUGUUGUUUUCACUGGUUUGUGGUUCUCUUUUGUGACCUCACCACCUCUGUUCCUCUGUACCCCAGUCACUCUGUCAACCGAGGUCUCGCCCUCUGGCCGUCACUAUGAAGUGUCCCUCCUCUGCACAGAGGCAUCCUUCUGACCCCGCCCUGGCCCUUUCUCGCUGGACCAGUCACAGCACAGGCAGGUCACCAAGGCACAGUUCCCCUGAGUGGGGCUAACAUUCUAUUAUUAAUAUGUAGACCCCUAAUCAGACAAGCUGUAUCUACAAUUUCAUCCAGCAUCCCCGCUCCCUGACCAGGGAUUGAACCUGCACCUGCUGCAUUUGAAGGCCAAGAGAAAUCACUCCAGGCUGACCCCACGCUAAUUACUGAGGUUCACAGUCCUAGGAAUUGCAAAGGACGAAAACAGACAACUGCACAGAACCUUGAUGCCUUGAUUCACCCAAGAAUCUCCACAUCCACAUAAGGAUCAGAUUUUGUGAUUUCCACUGUAGUGCUACGACCUCGAGGCUCACACCUCUGAAGAAGUGGCCAGGAUUUCCGGCACCAGAGACCGCUGUGGGCUUUUUCCUCAAGUUACCCAGCAGAUCUUCAGAGCAUGAGAACUGGGCUUCUUUUCUGUGGUAAGGCCAAAGUUCAGAUGCAACCCAGCCCAAAGGUUCAAGAGAACAAAAGGAAGUGCACAAGGCCUCUUAAGGUCUAGACUUGAAACGGGCUUUCUGCCACUUCUGCUGCAUCCUUUUGGCCAGAGCAAAUCACAGGCUGACCUGUUCAGAGUGAAACUCUGAGGUUAGAAAGCAAAAGGUGCAGCUACAGGGAACCAUUAACCGGGGACUUCAAUUGCAGUUGGUCAACCCCAGAGAGACAAACAACCUAUUUUUUUAAAGUCACAGCACCAUCAUCUGUAACCUGAGAGUCCGCCUGGAUGCCCAGCAGUAUACCUGUGUCUCGCUCCUGUUUCCAAAACUAAAAGGAAGAAGCACUGUCCCCACGUAAACACAUCCCCACCUCCAUCCAGCCUCUCUGCUGCUUGAGCUUUUUUCCAUCUUGGACCUGGCCUUUGGUGGAGAAAAGGAUCCUGGCGAGCAUGACUGUCACUAUACUGUGCGUACAGUGACCAGCCUUUGGCAGCAGGGAAAUGCGACACUUCAGGGACUCCAAAAUAAAAGCCAAUGUACAAUGUCCCUAUUGAUAAUGCCUUUUUUUUUUUUUUUUUGGCAAUGACAUUUUUGAAAAAGCAGUUAUUUGUCUUCAGAAGACUUGCGAAUGGUUUUCCAUUUGAAGCCAAGUGAGUGUCCUAAUUUGCCUUUAACUGAGAACAUUUAAAAAACUGAAGAUUUUUAGAAAAAUUAUAUUGAGGCCUUCUGUUAUGGGCUGAACGGUUCCCCCUCCCUUCCCCCCAGUUUCAUAGGCUGACGUCCUAACCCCCAGUACCUGCGAAUGUGACUUUAUCUGGAGAUAUGGUCUUUAAAGAGAUAAUUAUUAACAAGUUAAAGGGAGGUCAUUAGGGUGGGCCCUAAUCUGAUGUGACUAGUGUCCUAUGGGGAGAGGAGGUUAGGACACAGACAUGUAUGGAGGAAAGACCACGUGAAGACAUGGAAAGACAGAGGCCUUCUGCAAGGCAAGAAGAGAAGUUUCAGGAGAAACCAGUGCUGCCGCCAUAUUCAUCUCGGACUUCUAACGGUCAGAACUGUCAGGACAUGAACUUCUUUUAUUUAAACCACCGAGGCUGUGGUACAUUAUUAUAGCAGUCCUAGCAAACUCAUAGACUCCCUGAGAUGUUGAUGGCUUUGGGUCCUUUUUUUGACUAGAAUGGCUCACUUUUGAGUGCACACAAGUUUUCUUGUCAAAGUGUGAGGCUGCCAGGGCUAAAAGGUGGCCCGGACCUAAGUUUUGGUUACCCCUGAAAUGGUAAGAUUCCCCGCCCCCAUCGGGCCGCCUGGAGCCAGCCAAUCAACAGGCGCCCAAAAGGGAACAAAGGGAACAUGAGGGAAAGCAGAAAAGCCUGCGAAUGCCUAAGUUUGAACAAAAGCCCAUGAAAGUUUGUACCAAUAAAAUUGCUUUGUAAACAUGUAACCAAUCCGCUUAAGCCAGCUACCAACUGCUUAUGU